rnacentral:lncRNA from 1 species
CCACAACAGGAACUCCACAAGUUUUCCCUUUUUAAGGGCACGAAUCCCAUUCAGGAGGGCUCCAUCUUCAUGACCUAUUCACUUCCCAAAGGCCAAACCCCCCAAUACCAUCGUCACCCCAGGGGGUAGGAUUUCAACAUAGGAUUUUUGAGGGGAUACAAACAUUCAGUCCAUAACACGUAUCAAUGGAGUAACACCGGGCAUGGCCUUUGGGGUACAAAUGAGCAGGUAUUCUGGCUUUGUUUGGAUUCAAGUGCCCCAGGCUAAUCUGGCAUAGGAAAACGGAUUCUUCCAAACUGGCCAGGUUCACCCCUUGGAGCUGUAUGCUGGAGUUUGGAGCCAAAGGCCCAGGUAAUAAUAAAGGGUCACUUUGUUUUAAACUCUGGGCAUGGGUUUUCCUCCGAGACCUCCUGGAACCAGGUAAUCGGGGCAGGAUUGAGGUUCUGCUCUAUCCUGGCCAAACACAUCCUCAGCCUGUUGAUCUCAUCCUUUGAUAGAUCCCCACUCACCAAUCUCAGACGUGUGACCUCAACAAAUGAGGUCCUCGCCUAACUUUCUUUUUUUUUUUUUUUUUUUUUUGCUUUUUAGGGCCACACUUGCGGCAUAUGGAGGUUCCCAGGACAUCACACAUUGACAAUUAAAUGUCCUAUUGCAUUUCAAAGUAACAUUAAUCCCCAAAGACAAAGAACAAAACUAUAGGGAAUGCUGUGAGAAGAUGCUGCCUUUUCUGAAUAUCAUCAAUUAAACCAGAUUUCCAUAACACAAAAUGAAACCGUACACUGGUAGCACAAUCCCAAUGACUAAAAGAUUGAGAUGGGCUUAAAAAGUACACAUCAGCACAGGAAAAUUCCACUGUUGUUUUCAAGCCUUCCGAUAAAGGUGAUUGAGCUCCUAAGAACAGGGAGUGCUCCUCAGAAAAUAUAUUUUUCAAUCCCAUUUGCCAAGCACUUGAGUGUGUAUUUAUGAAGCCCAUCAAAUCUACCAUCUAAAAGCAUUUCACAUGAUACCUUAAUGAAUUGGAUCUAGGGGCUAUAAAAUAAAAAUUUCUGCCUGGCUAUCUAUAUACAUAUAAAGGCAAUGUUCAUUUGCAUUUGCAGCUCUGAGUCAAUCGCCCGAAAUGACAACAGGCUUCAACUCCCCACUCUGCUUUCUGCUCAGGAAACCUUCCAGCUUACCUGCAGCCCCGGCUUCAGUCAUUUGUCACUGACUGACACAAACCACAAAGCUCAAGAAGGGCCAGGUUUGCGUUCACCCCUGUAAUGUGCAAUAACCAAAUGCAGUUUUAGACCUGGUCCUGUUUCAAUCCAAGAUCUGUUUAGGCCCCUACCCCUUUAAAACGAGAGGACUCCCCGACAGCACUUCUUAAACUUGGUGGCCAGGAGCCAGGGCUGCCAACAAUCAAGAACCUUGAGAAGCAAGGCCC